AUUGAACGCUGGCGGCAGGACUAACACAUGCAAGUCGAGCGGAGCGGCGGACGGGUGAGUAAUGCAUCAGAAUCUGCCUGGUAGUGGGGGAUAACGUCCGGAGACGGGCGCUAAUAACGCAUACUAUCAGAUGAGCCACAGUCGGAGUAGCUAGUUGGUGGGGUAAAGGCCUACCUAGGCGACGAGUCGUAACUGGUCUGAGAGGAUGAUCAGUCACACUGGAACUUAGACACGGUCCAGACUCCUACGGUAGGCAUCAGUGGGGAAUAUUGGUCAAUGGGCGAAAGCCUGAGCCAGCCAUGCCGCUUGUGUAGAAGUUCUGCGUAUUGUAAAGCACAUUAAUUUGGGAUUCGUUACCAACAGAAUAAGCACCGGCUAACUUCGUACCAGCAGCCGCGGUAAUAC
rnacentral:rRNA from 1 species